rnacentral:rRNA from 1 species
AGAGUUUGAUCCUGGCUCAGAUUGAACGCUGGCGGCGUGCCUAACACAUGCAAGUCGAGCGGCAGCGCGGGAGCAAUCCUGGCGGCGAGCGGCGGACGGGUGAGCAAUGCUUGGGAAUCUGCCUAUCAGUGGGGGACAACCCGGGGAAACUCGGGCUACUACCGCAUACGUUCUUCGGAAGAAAGCAGGGGAUCGCAAGACCUUGCGCUGAUAGAUGAGCCCAAGCCGGAUUAGCUAGUUGGUGAGGUAAUGGCUCACCAAGGCGACGAUCCGUAGCUGGUCUGAGAGGACGACCAGCCACACCGGAACUGAGACACGGUCCGGACUCCUACGGGAGGCAGCAGUGGGGAAUAUUGGACAAUGGGGGCAACCCUGAUCCAGCGACGCCGCGUGGGUGAAGAAGGCCUGCGGGUUGUAAAGCCCUUUCGUUGGGGAAGAAAAGUUCCGACCUAACACGUCGGGACCGUGACGUUACCCAAAGAAGAAGCACCGGCUAACUCUGUGCCAGCAGCCGCGGUAAUACAGAGGGUGCGAGCGUUAAUCGGAAUUACUGGGCGUAAAGCGCACGUAGAUGGCUUUGUAAGUCGGGUGUGAAGGCCCCGGGCUCAACCUGGGAACUGCAUUCGAAACUGCAUUGCUUGAGUGUGGAAGAGGGAAGCGGAAUUCCAGGUAGCGGUGAAAUGCGUAGAUAUCUGGAGGAACAUCAGUGGCGAAGGCGGCUUCCUGGUCCAACACUGACAUUCAGGUGCGAAAGCGUGGGGAGCAAACAGGAUUAGAUACCCUAGUAGUCC